UGCUUUCGAGAUUCAAGAGACCACAUCCUCAAUUCGUUCAUCUCAUCUCCAUCUCACGGUGGUUAAAUUGCGCGCUUGCUUUUAGCGACGUCACACCAUUUCAGGCAUUAUAUGGAUAUGAACCCUCUCCCAUUAUUCCUUAUUUUCCCGGCUCUACAUCAGUGGCUUAUGUGGAUCAGCAACUGAAAAAUAGGGAUGAAUUGUUAGCUGUGAUCAAAAGAAAUUUGAACCAUGCACAAUCCAGAAUGAAGGGGCUCUAUGAUAAAAAGCACACAGAGAGAGAAUUUCAAGCUGGAGAUUGGGCUUAUCUUAAACUCCAGCCUUAUAGGCAACACUCUAUGCCUGCAAGUGUGUUUCACAAGCUAUCUACCAAAUAUUAUGGACCCUUCCAAGUGCUUGAGAAAAUUGGAGAGGUGGCCUAUAAACUGCAGCUUCCACCUUCAGCUAAAAUACAUAAUGUAUUCCAUGUGUCACUUUUGAAGAAGAAGGUUGGUAAUUCUGUUGUGGUGGAAUCUCAAUUACUCGCCAUCCAUGAUACUUCCAAUCCAAGGUGGGCACCAGAAGCUAUUCUACAAACUAGAAUGGUGAAAAGACGUGGUGAGGCUGCCACACAAUGGCUCAUACAGUGGUUUGGGACCUCCCCUGACGAGGCAACAUGGGAAUUUGCUCACGACAUUAUCCAGAGGUACCCAGACUUCCAGUUUUAGCUAUGAAACUUGAGGACAAGUUUGUUUUGGUGGAGGAAGAAUUGUUACGAGUCAACUUUGACUAGCUUUGAUUGAAUAUAGUUGCCCGUUAGCAUGGUUUGCACGUGGCCACUAUUAAUUAGGCAGUAUUAGGUUUAUUACAGUACGUACUCGGUUCAAUUGUUGUUGCUUAGCUCAAUUAUUGUAGUUUCUGCUUUCUGCGAUCUACUUGGUGGGAUGAGACGUGGCUCCAUCCUAACCCUUUAGCUGAGUAUAUAUAGGAUGUAAUAGGGUUUCGGCAGCCAUUGAAUGAAAUAUAUUUUCCUUUC